CCUACGGGAGGCAGCAGUGGGGGAUAUUGCACAAUGGGGGGAACCCUGAUGCAGCGACGCCGCGUGGGUGAAGGAGCGUUUCGGCGCGUAAAGCCCUAUCGGCAGGGAAGAAGAAGGACGGUACCUGACUAAGACGCCCCGGCUAACUACGUGCCAGCAGCCGCGGUAAUACGUAGGGGGCAAGCGUUAUCCGGAUUUACUGGGUGUAAGGGGGGCGCAGACGGCAGCGCAAGCCAGGAGUGAAAGCCCGGGGCCCAACCCCGGGACUGCUCUUGGAACUGCGCGGCUGGAGUGCAGGAGGGGCAGGCGGAAUUCCUGGUGUAGCGGUGAAAUGCGUAGAUAUCAGGAGGAACACCGGUGGCGAAGGCGGCCUGCUGGACUGCGACUGACGUUGAGGCCCGAAAGCGUGGGGAGCAAACAGGAUUAGAUACCCGUGUAGUC
rnacentral:rRNA from 1 species